AUUGAACGCUGGCGGCAGGCCUAACACAUGCAAGUCGAACGAGUGGCGGACGGGUGAGUAAUGUCUGGGAAACUGCCUGAUGGAGGGGGAUAACUACUGGAAACGGUAGCUAAUACCGCAUACCAUCAGAUGUGCCCAGGUGGGAUUAGCUAGUUGGUGGGGUAAAGGCCUACCAAGGCGACGAUCCGUAACUGGUCUGAGAGGAUGACCAGCCACACUGGAACGGAGACACGGUCCAGACUCCUACGGGAGGCAGCAGUGGGGAAUAUUGCACAAUGGGCGCAAGCCUGAUCCAGCCAUGCCGCGUGUGUGAAGAAGGUCUUCGGGUUGUAAAGUACUUUAAGUGGGGAGGCGUUACCCACAGAAUAAGCACCGGCUAACUUCGUGCCAGCAGCCGCGGUAAUAC
rnacentral:rRNA from 1 species